GCUUACCUACGGGAGGCAGCAGUGGGGGAUAUUGCACAAUGGGGGAAGCCCUGAUGCAGCGACGCCGCGUGAGUGAAGAAGUAUUUCGGUACGUAAAGCUCUAUCAGCAGGGAAGAAAAAUGACGGUACCUGACUAAGAAGCCCCGGCUAACUACGUGCCAGCAGCCGCGGUAAUACGUAGGGGGCAAGCGUUAUCCGGAUUUACUGGGUGUAAAGGGAGCGCAGGCGGCGCGUUAAGCCUGGUGUGAAAGUCCGCGGCCCAACCGCGGGACUGCAUUGGGAACUGGCGCGCUGGAGUGCCGGAG
rnacentral:rRNA from 1 species